AGUCACUGACAUUAGAUACCCCUGUAGUCCCAGCCGUAAACAAUGUGCGUUAGGUGUGUCGGUAACCACGCGUUACUGAUGCGCCGAAGAGAAAUCGUGAAACGCACCACUUGGGAAGUACGGUCGCAAGGCUGAAACUUAAAGGAAUUGGCGGGGAGCACCACAACAGGUGGAGCCUGCGGUUUAAUUGGAUUCAACGCCGGACAUCUCACCGGAUAAGACAGCUGAAUGAUUGUCAAUCUGAAGGUUUUACAUGACUAGCUG
rnacentral:rRNA from 1 species